rnacentral:rRNA from 1 species
GAUGAACGCUGGCGGCGUGCUUAACACAUGCAAGUCGAACGGGAAUUAUUUUCUUUAAACUUCGGUCGGUUUAAUUUAAUUCUAGUUGAGGACGGGUGAGUAACGCGUGGGUAACCUGCCAUAUACAGGGGGAUAACAGUCAGACAUGGCUGCUAAUACCGCAUCAGCGCACAGAGCUGCAUGUCUCAGUGUGAAAGACUCCGGUGGUAUAAGAUGGACCCGCGUUGGAUUAGCUGGUUGGUGGGGUCACGGCCCACCAAGGCGACGAUGCAUAGCCGGGCUGAGAGGGUGAACGGUCAGAUUGGGACUGAGACACGGACCAGAAUCGUACGGGAGGCAGCAGUGGGGAAUAUUGCACAAUGGGGGAAAACCUGAUGCAGCGACGCCGGGGGAAGGAAGAAGUAUCUCGGUAUGUAAACUUCUAUCAGAAGGGAAGAUAGUGACGGUACCUGACUAAGAAGCCCCGGCUAACUACGUG